rnacentral:rRNA from 1 species
CCUACGGGUGGCUGCAGUAGGGAAUAUUGCUCAAUGGGGGAAACCCUGAAGCAGCAAAGCCGCGUGGAGGAUGAAGGUUUUCGGGUUGUAAACUCUUUUUGUUCGAGGAGAUAAUGACGGUAUCUAACGACUAAGCAACGGCUAACUACGUGAAAGCAGCCGCGGUCAUCCGGAGGGUGCAAGCGUUAAUCGGAAUCACUGGGCGUAAAGCGGUCGUAGGCGGGAUUGCAAGUCAGAUGGGAAAUUGCAGGGCUUAACCCUAGAACUGCAUUUGAAACUGGCAUUCUAGAGUAUGGGAGAGGUAGGUGGAAUUCGUGGUGUAGCGGUAAAAUCCAUAGAGAUCAAGAAGAAUACUCAUUGCGAAGGCAGCCUGCUAGAACUUAACUGACGCUCAUGCGCGAAAGUGUGGGUAUCAAACAGGAUUAGAUACCCGUGUAGUC